UGACUUGAGCAGCACAGGACUGGCCCCAACCCUCUACCAGCACGUGCACAGACAUGGUGAAGAACAGGAACAGGUCUUUCUAAACAAAAUGGGCAUGAAAACUGGAGGCUGACCAGCACAAUACCUACAGUAAUACCAUAUGUUCAUGAUGUCUUCAGGAAUUUUACUAUAGUUUUCAAUCCAGGUUAUAAAGUUGUUUUGAAGCCUGGGUCAUUGACGUCAGCACGUCACAUCCAUUCAGCCUUGAAUCUUUCCUGACAGCGUUUUUAUGCACCUGCGAGCUGGGAGUACGUACAGGCACCAAGAAACAAUGGUGAAAGAAGCUUUCAUUGCCACCAUGAGAACAGAUGAAAGCAUGGCCCCUGAGGAAAGGUUAAGUGACCAAAGCACUUGAAUCUGAGAGAUCUUUGAGGUGAACUGCAGUCUCCAAAUAUAUAAAAAGGAACUGGGAAAAUAAAAAA